AGGACGAACGCUGGCGGCGUGCUUAACACAUGCAAGUCGAGCGGAAAGGCCCUUCGGGGUACUCGAGCGGCGAACGGGUGAGUAACACGUGAGUAAUCUGCCCCUAGCUCUGGGAUAGCUCCGGGAAACCGGGAUUAAUACCAGAUACGACCACUUUAGACAUCUGUUGUGGUGGAAAGAAUUUUGGCUAGGGAUGAGCUCGCGGCCUAUCAGCUUGUUGAUGAGGUAACGGCUCACCAAGGCGACGACGGGUA
rnacentral:rRNA from 1 species